rnacentral:rRNA from 1 species
UUGGAGGGCAAGUCUGGUGCCAGCAGCCGCGGUAAUUCCAGCUCCAAUAGCGUAUAUUAAAGUUGUUGCAGUUAAAAAGCUCGUAGUUGAACUUCGGGAUUUGUCCAUUGGUCAGGCUUAACUGUCUGUACUGGUGUGACGAAUUCCUACCUUCUGAGGAAUUUUCAUGCCAUUAAGUUGGUGUGGGGAGGAAUCAGGACUGUUACUUUGAAAAAAUUAGAGUGUUUAAAGCAGGCUAACGUCUGAAUACAUUAGCAUGGAAUAACAAUAUAGGACGGCUGGUCCUAUUUUGUUGGUUUCUAGGAUCACCGUAAUGAUUAAUAGGGAUAGUUGGGGGCAUUAGUAUUCAAUUGUCAGAGGUGAAAUUCUUGGAUUUAUUGAAGACUAACUACUGCGAAAGCAUUUGCCAAGGAUGUUUUCAUUAAUCAAGAACGAAAGUUAGGGGAUCGAAGACGAUCAGAUACCGUCGUAGUCUUAACCAUAAACUAUGCCGAGCUAGGUGAUCGGACUCGUAUGUUGGAUCAUGUCAUAUGU